CGGCGGCCAUAGCGAGAGGGAAACGCCCGGUCACAUUCCGAACCCGGAAGCUAAGACUCUCAGCGCCGAUGGUACUGCAAGGGGGACCUUGUGGGAGAGUAGGACACCGC
rnacentral:rRNA from 4 species